UAGGCAAACUCCAGCCCUCCAGAUGUUUGGGACUACAAUUCCCACCAUCCCUGACCACUGGUCCUGUUAGCUAGGGAUGAUGGGAAUUGUAGUCCCAAACAUCUGGAGGGCUGGAGUUUGCCUA
rnacentral:miRNA from 1 species